UAUUUAUAUAGUAUAAAAAGUAUAUUUGACUUCCAAUCAAAUGGUCUAACUAUUUUUAGUAUAAAUAA
rnacentral:tRNA from 2 species